GGAUGAUGGACUCAAGUCAUUGUCUGUUCUAUAUAAGAGACUUGUUGAUAUGCUAGAAGAGAAGUCACAUUUACCUGCUGUACUACAAUCUCUUGGAUGUGUUGCACAGACUGCUAUGCCAGUCUUUGAGACAAGGGAGAAAGAGAUUGAGCAGUUCAUAACGAAAAACAUAUUGGAGCUUAGUCAUACAUCUGAAGGUAAAGCCAAAGAAAGUUGGGAGGACCGAAGUGAGAUCUGUUCAAUGAAGAUAUUUGGAAUUAAGACACUGGUCAAAAGCUAUUUACCAGUGAAGGAUGCUAACCUUCGAGUGGGGAUUGAUGACUUGUUGGAAAUCCUGAAAAACAUACUCUCAUUUGGGGAAAUCUCAAUUCAAAUUAAGUCAAGUUCUGUUGAUAAGGCCCAUCUAAGACUUGCCGCAGCAAAAGCUAUGCUUCGUCUAUCAAAGCACUGGGACCACAAGAUUCCUGUGGAUGUCUUUUACCUUACUCUUGGGACAUCAGAGGCUAGUUUCCCUCAAGUAAAGAAGUUAUUCCUCAACAAAGUCCAUCAAUACCUGAAGGACCGUUAUUUGGAGCCGAAGUAUACUUGUGCCUUCUUACUUGACUUGCAGUUUCAGCAGCCAGAUUUUGAAGAGAUCAAGAGCAACUUAAGUGAUGUUAUCCAGAUCUAUCAGCAGGGGAAGGC
rnacentral:misc_RNA from 1 species